rnacentral:lncRNA from 1 species
GAGGAGUCAUUUGGUGACUUUUGAGUGAAAUCCAAUGGCUAAAACUAUGCAAUACAGUAACCACUCCAUUUCAGAACGAACUUCGUACGAACCUGAAUUGUCCAAUUUCGUGGACCAAUCGAUAUCGAAUUGAGUACACUAACCCCUCCAUUUUAGAACAAACUUCGUACAAACCUGAAUUGUCCAAUUCAUGGACCAAUCAAUAUCGAAUUGAGUCCAAAAUGUGGG